GGGCCACCCCAGCCAGCAGAGUCAGCCUACUCAGAUUUCCUAUCCGUGAUGUGGGAGCGUUGAUUUUUUGCGUUUUUUUUUGCUCUUCAGGAAUGAGUCUCGCUGUUGCUCAUUCUGUGGAUCCCUGCUGCGUUUAUAAGCUGUAACGCUCAGCGCUAAGGUCUGCAGGUUCAGUCCUAAAACCAGUGAGACCAGCGACCCACCAGAAAAAACUAGCAACUGCAGACGCGACGCCUUUAAGAGCUGUAACACUCAUCGCGAAGGUUUGCAGCUUCACUCCUGAAGCCAGGGAGACCACGAACUCACCAGAAGAAAUAAACUCCGGACACAUUUGAGCAUCUGAAGGAACAAACUCCGAACACACCAUCUUUUAAGAACUGUAACACUCACUGCGAGGGUCCAAGGGUCUGCAGCUUCAUUUUUGAAGUCACCAAGACCAAGAACCACAAAUUCUGGACACAACAUCAUUUCCUGUGGGAUCAUAUUCUGGAAUCACAGAGAGCAUGACUAUGAGAUCUCAGCUAUCCAGCUGUCACAGAGGAAGUGGGAAUUUUCAACCAUGAAUGUCAAGUCAUCUUUUCAAUGUGAAGGUUUGCUACUGCCGAAUAAGAAACACCAUUUUGUUUUCAGGCAUUAAAUUAUGAUGAAGGCCACAGAAAAAUGAUUAAGGUCAAAGUCUAGAAUCAAUUGUCAGCCUAUGUUAUGGACAUAACAUUUAUGUACCAUUGGGUCAUGAGGGUGGAGCGCUCAUGAAUGGAAUUAGCGACCUUAUGAAAGAGAGACUAGAGAGCUGUCUCAUCCCUUCUGCUGUGUGAGGACCUGGUGAAAAGAUGUCAGCUAUGAAACAGAAAGCGAGGCCUCAGCAGACACUACAUCUUUUGGUGCCUUGAUCUUGGACUUUCCAGCCUCCAGAACUGUGAGUAAUAAAUUUCUGUUGUUUAUAAUCUACCCAGUCUAUGGUAUUUUGUUAUGGCAGUCCAAAUGAACUAAGGUAUUCUCUAAAGUGUUUCUGCCAAGACUUCUCCUUAGUGGGGA
rnacentral:lncRNA from 10 species